rnacentral:rRNA from 1 species
UACGGAGGGUGCAAGCGUUAUCCGGAUUCACUGGGUUUAAAGGGUGCGUAGGUGGGUCUGUAAGUCAGUGGUGAAAUCUCCGAGCUUAACUCGGAAACUGCCAUUGAUACUAUAGAUCUUGAAUCAUCUGGAGGUAAGCGGAAUAUGUCAUGUAGCGGUGAAAUGCUUAGAUAUGACAUAGAACACCAAUUGCGAAGGCAGCUUACUGCGGGUGCAUUGACACUGAGGCACGAAAGCGUGGGGAUCAAACAGG